GCCAGGCGCAGUGGCACAUGCCAGUAAUCCUAGCUCUCAGGAGGCUGAGGCAGGAGGAUUACAGGUGUGAGGCUAGUCUGAGCAACAUAGUGAGACUCUGUCUCAA
rnacentral:sRNA from 1 species